rnacentral:lncRNA from 1 species
CAGGCACUCUGCUGGCCCUUGCAACUGCCUUGAUCACCUGUAACUAUCCAGGGUUUUCAGGCUGGCUUGGGGUAACACCGCCCGGCCCCAUCAAAGAAAUGCAGCGUGAACAGUCCCACACCUCUUGGCUCCUGUCUCUCAAGGAACAUGCAAGUGAAUCUAAUUAAUGACCUUCAGUAUCUUCUGUGCUUUUUUAUUAUCCCAUCCACAGUUCCUGGAGCCUUCCGGUCACUUACAAUUCAAACAAAAGAAACACCAAAAAGCUAGCUCGUGUGUCAUGGGCUCCUUUUCUCUGUCUCGGCACCAGAAGGUUCUAGAAACCGUUUGCAGACUCUCCUCAGGGACUCAGAAGGUCAGGGGGAGAGAAGGGUGGAGAGAAAUUGGGUUGCAUGUAUCGGUAGUGAGAGUGGAGAUCCUGAGGAAUAUAUCUGCUGCUUCUGCCGGUCUCUCUCCCUCAGUCAUCAAGUGCCGUCGCCGAGCACUUCUCAAACGGUCCCGUACGCACACGCACACACACAAACACACACGCCAGGAGAGUCUUGUUAACAAGCCCGUGGUCCUGCGUUUCCAGCAUGCUCACGGGACCCUAAUGCUGCUGAUCUGGAGACCUCGCUUUGAGCAGCGAGACUGCGGGUGGCGUCUGAACCUGACGGUCCGUGGGCUAUUGUUCCGUAUAGGAUGCCGGGACGGCUGGGUAGCCAUCCAGAAAAAGUAACGUCAGACUUACACUCCCAAUUCCUGUACUAGGACGGAUACGAAGAAGUGUGAUCUGUGCUCGAGGUGGAAAUGCAAAAUGAUGAACAAUUGAAAGGACAACGGGCAAAGAAUAGAGACACUCAGUAACUUGACCAAACUCACAAGAAGCCGGUGCGUGAACCGGAAUGAGAAACCAUUAAUCUGCAAUGGGAAAUACUCCUUUGCGAUGACAGAACACGCAUGUCUGCCAUCCAGGCACCUCGCUGCACAGAUCAAGAUGCCCGUGACGUUCCGUGAGGGAGCCCGGUGGGGCGCCUGGCUGGCUCCUUCAGAAGAGCAUGGGACUCUCGAUGAUCUCAGGGUCGUGAGUUCAGACCCCAUGUUGGGCAUGGAGCCUACUUUAAAUAAAUAAAUAAAUAAAUAAAUAAAUAAAUAAAUA